rnacentral:rRNA from 1 species
UACGAAGGGUGCAAACGUUGCUCGGAAUCAUUGGGCGUAAAGCGCACGUAGGCGGCUUGCCAAGUCGGACGUGAAAUCCCUCAGCUCAACUGAGGACGUGCAUCCGAAACUGGCGAGCUUGAGUGCUGAAGAGGAUCGCGGAAUUCCCGGUGUAGAGGUGAAAUUCGUAGAUAUCGGGAGGAACAUCAGUGGCGAAGGCGGCUACCUGGCCCAAUACUGACACUCAGGUGCGACAGCGUGGGGAGCAAACAGG